GCAUCAGUGAGGUUUAUCCUUGCCUGUAAUCUUAGAAAUAAGUCUACAGUAUAUGAUGAUUGGAUUCUAAGAAUACCUUUUAUAUUUUAUUCUGUGUUAAAUUGGGGUAUAUCACUCAUUUAUGAAUCCUGUCUGGU
rnacentral:snoRNA from 1 species